rnacentral:rRNA from 1 species
CUCAAUGAAAUUCAAUAGCCGCAAUAUAAUUGUGCUAAGGUAGCAUAAUCAUUUGUUUUUUAAUUAAAAACCGGAACGAAAGAUUCAACAUUUUUAUUUCUUUCUCAUAUAUAUGAAUUUAAAUUAUUUCAAAUAUAAAAAAAUAUUUAUAUAUAAAAAAGACGAUAAGACCCUAUUGAACUUAACUAAAGUUUAACUGGGGUAGUUAAUUAAAUACAAUUUUAAUUUAAAAAUUAAAAAAACCUAAUAUCAUUAAAAUAAUCAAGUUACCAUAGGGAUAACAGCGCAAUAAUUUUCUUAAGAUCUUAUUAAAAAAAUUGUUUACGACCUCGAUGUUGAAUUAAUAAUCUAUUAAAUGCAACAAUUUAAUAACGAAAGUCCGUGUUACUU